GGCAACAGCUCAAAUUUGAAAUCUGGCCCCCUCGGGGCCCGAGUUGUAAUUUGUAGAGGAUGUUUCUGGCGACGUGCCUUCCGAGUUCCCUGGAACGGGACGCCAUAGAGGGUGAGAGCCCCGUACGGUUGGAUGCCUAGCCUCUGUGAAACUCCUUCGAC
rnacentral:rRNA from 1 species